CUGAGUCCUGUUAAAGAAUGUGCUUAGGAUCACAUGCUAGGAGGUGGUCAGCUGGAAUGCAAGUCCAGGCAGGUGCUAGCUUGAGAGCCACUGCUCUAUCAAGCCCUUCUCAGGCUUCUACUCAGGCCAAGAGAGGAGGAAGGACCCUCGGACAGGAGCAGCGUGAGCAAAGGUUCCACCGGGCUGUCUUGGCUGAGGUUCCUGAAGAGGAAAAAAGUGUUUUCCAGCUGGGCUACCACCUGUGACAAGUUGUCAUUCGCAUGGAGCGGGGAUUCUGUUCUGGGUUAGAUACCCAAGAGUGGGAACGCUGAGUUAUAUGAGAGCAGAUGUGAUUCUGCACUGUUUGACCUGGGUAAGUUAAACCUCUGUGGAUCUCAGUCUCCCAUUUCUGUAAAACGUAUAUAAAAAAAGGGCCAACUUCAUUGGGUUAUUGUGAGAAUAAAAUGAGAUGCUUAAGGCACAGAGUAUGUGCUCAAUAAAUACUGCCUUUUGCUUUUGG